rnacentral:lncRNA from 1 species
UCUCUACCAAAAAGAAAAACAUUUAACUGAACUUGGUAGCAUGUGCCUGUAGACCUAGCUACUCUGGAUGCUGCAGCAGGAUCGCUUGAGCCCAAAGAUUCGAGGUUACAGUGAGCUAGGGUCGCACUGGUGCACUCCAGUCUGGGUGACAGAGGAAGACCCUGUCUCAAAAAUAAAUAAAUAAAUAAAAAACGUCAACUUUAU